rnacentral:rRNA from 1 species
UACGUAGGGUGCGAGCGUUAAUCGGAAUUACUGGGCGUAAAGCGUGCGCAGGCGGUUCGUUGUGUCUGCUGUGAAAUCCCCGGGCUCAACCUGGGAAUGGCAGUGGAAACUGGCGAGCUUGAGUGUGGCAGAGGGGGGUGGAAUUCCUGGUGUAGCGGUGGAAUGCGCAGAUAUCAGGAGGAACACCGGUGGCGAAGGCGGGUCUCUGGGCAGUAACUGACGCUGAGGAGCGAAAGCGUGGGGAGCGAACAGG